rnacentral:pre_miRNA from 1 species
UAACCAAUGUGCAGACUACUGUACAAACACUAAUUCCUGAACAGGUAGUCUGAACACUGGGCAGG